UACGAGGGGGGCAAGCGUUGUUCGGAAUUAUUGGGCGUAAAGGGCGCGUAGGCGGCUCUGCACGUCCGUUGUGAAAUCGCCCGGCUCAACUGGGCGGGGUCAGCGGAUACGGUGUGGCUCGAGCAAGCUAGGGGGCAAUGGAAUUCCCGGUGUAGUGGUGGAAUGCGUAGAUAUCGGGAGGAGCACCAGUGGCGAAGGCGGUUGCCUGGAGCUUUGCUGACGCUGAGGCGCGAAAGCGUGGGGAGCGAUCCGG
rnacentral:rRNA from 1 species